ACCUUUCUCAACUCGUCUCUCUCUGUCUCUUGUAGCCGCCAGCCGCCCCCGCCGCUCACUCCAUGCCACGGCCGCCCCUGUCGCGCCCGGCCACCCCCGGCCCCGGUCGCCCUUGCCGCGGACGCCCCUGUGUGAGCCGCCGGCGCGCGCUCGCCGCUCCGCCCCUACGCGCAGUCGCCACGGGAGCUCAUAUCGCUCGAUUUCCUCUCCGGUGGCAGCACCCUCCACCCCUCAUCAACCCAACCCGCAAGAAAAACCCGCAGCAGAGAAGAGGAGUCGUCGUGACCGAGAGCUCCAGAGCAUGCCCCCGCCACAGCCUCUGACGAUGGAUCCAAAGAUGACAGAGGUGACCCAGAUGUUCGCCCGCUUCAAGACGGCCUACGCCUGCAACGACCUCAACACCUGUGUCACCCUCCUCUCGCAGCUCAAGGUCCAUCUCACCCAAUUCCCCAGCCAUCCGGCCUUGUUUCAGCAGACACCGAACAUUGUGGAGGAGCUCAAACUUGCAAGGGACAUUUAUGAGCAUGCUGUUGUUUUGAGUAUGAAAUUUGAGGACCAAGAUGCGUUUGAACGCAAUUUCUGCCAGCUGAAGCCUUAUUACGUGGAUACAUGGUUAGUUCUUUGUCACCCAAUUUGUCGAUUUUAUUUUCCUUUAUUAUUUUGAUUUCUAUUUUUUUAGGCUGAAUUCAUGUGAUGCUUCAGGUAAUAAAAAGUUUAAAGCUGAUUGCGAAAGGCAUAUUUUUCUUAUGCACAAGCAUUAUUAAAUUGGUUGUGGCUGCAUUUGUAAAUUGAGAUACUAAACUAGUGGAAGCAAAGGACUUAUUUGAGUUGUUUAACUAGUCUAAGUGAAAACUAAACCCAACGUUUCUGUCAGACCCAUCAGAUUAUCAAGUACUUUUAAGUAUUAACUAAAAGAAUAGCCCGCACAUUGUUGUGGGACUUUCUUAGAAAUAAAUUUGGUAUAUGCAUAUCGUUACUGUAUGUUCUCUGGAUACUAUGUAUGUAUAUUUAUGAUAUUGACUCGCAUGUUAUUUUAUUGCAACAGAUCUGGUAAAAAAGGCAAGCUAAUGGAAGAAAAGCCAAUAGAAUAUUAGAGAUCACAUUAUAGAAAGAUAGGAUGAUGAAACAAAUAACAUAUGUUGAUAACUUGUACAUUGAUAGAUUAAAGAUUAAAAGUAUUGUGCAUAAUAGGGAUGACGCGGAUAUUUUUUUAUAAUCAUCAAAGGAUGGCAUUGACAGUUUGCAUGAAAGGGUAGCAAGUUAGUAGGGCAUUUAGUGGGGAAGAUGUGGACACCUUGCAUGAAGAGAGAGAUAUAGAACAUCUAGUGGGGAUUAGCUUUAUAGAGUAUAUAGAUAAAUUCAUAAGCUUCCACUAUUGCUCGACGUCCCGGUGCCCCCCCCCCACCUCUGUUCAUUAUCCUUGGUCUUCACCUCCACCUGUACCUACAUCUCCAUCUACCGAACAUCAGACCCCUCCAACUACCUUACCGACGCAUGAACAAGAUGGCGAGUUAGACUUAGUAGAAACCCUCUUCACUAGUGGAGGUAUCGACCAUCACUCUUCACUGUAACCCGAUGGUGAUCAGCGACCGUGAGCUUCCAUGUUAUUGCGUUAUGAUACUUGAGACUUUUAUUAUGACUAUGUAUGAGAUAUUGUCUCUUAUUAGUACUGGAUGAUGAGAUGUGUCUUAUUAUGACUAUGGAUGAGACUUUUGUGAUGUAAUUGAUGAGACUAUGGAUGAGACUUUUGUGAUGUAAUUGAUGAGACUAUGGAUUUAAAUA